rnacentral:tRNA from 1 species
GCUUGUGUGGCUCAGUGGUUGAACGUCAGGCUAUGAACCAGGAGGUCAUGGUUUGAUUCCCUGUCCGGGCA